AUUGAACGCUGGCGGCAGGCCUAACACAUGCAAGUCGAACGAGUGGCGGACGGGUGAGUAAUGUCUGGGCAACUGCUUGAUGGCGGGGGAUAACUACUGGAAACGGUAGCUAAUACCGCAUACCAUCAGAUGUGCCCAGAUGGGAUUCGCGAGUGGGUGGGGUAACGGCUCACCAAGGCGACGAUCCCUAGCUGGUUUUAGAGGAUGACCAGCCACACGGGAACUGAGACACGGUCCAAACUCCUACGGGCGGCAGCAGUGGGGGCUUUUUCCCCCUAGUCUAAAGCCUGCUGCAGCCAUGCCGCGUGUAUGAAGAAGCCCUUCAGGUUGUCAUGUACUUUCAGCGGGGAGGCGUUACCCGCAGAAGAAGCACCGGCUAACUCCGUGCCAGCAGCCGCGGUAAUUC
rnacentral:rRNA from 1 species